AAGUAUAAAUAUAAGAGAAACAAUUAAAAAAUAAUUGAGUAAUACCAUAUACCAUUUUAAUUAUUAGCUGUUAAAUUAUCUAGAAAAACUGAGAGAGGAAUACAAAAUUUUUUUCUUAGUGAUUGAUUAUAAUUCCAAUAGGUUUUAAUAGUAAUAAUAUAAAUGUUCAAUAUUUAAUUUAUAAUUUGAGUGAAUCUUUUGAGAUAGUUGCUUAUAUUCUCUACGUUUAUUGAAUCCGGCUCGGCCCAAAGCCCAUCCUGGUUGGGUCGAUUCCAGGCCAGUCUGGGUAAGCCCAAACUGGGGUUAUAUAUAUAUAUUAUAUACAUUUUUCCGACCAAAUGAAGUUCAGGCAAUGUACGGUUAUAAAAUUGUGUUAUUAAAUACACUUAAUAUUGUGUAUGAUUUAAAGUUUAAAUUAAAAAAUAUCUUAUUACCAUGAAAAUAUAAUAGAUUUGUCUAAAAGAUUAUAAAAUGAGUG